AUGCCGCCGGGGGCGGGCCGCCGGGCGGCGGUGGACGUGGAGGACCUCCUGGUGCGCGUCAAGAACGGCGCCGGGCCCGAGCUCGGCGCCGUGGCGCGGGAGGUGGCAGCGCUGGCCGCCGAGGGGAGGCUCGGGGAGGACGAGGAGGGCGGGGUCCUGGUGCCGGCGCUGCUCGCGCGGCUCGCCGGCGCGGGGGACGCCGAGGUCAGGGUCCUCGUCAUGGCCGCGCUGCGGCGCCUCGCGGGCUGCGCCGGCGCCGAGACCAAGGAGAGGAUGGCAAGCAUUGAGGCACUUUCAAGCAUCGUACGUUCCUUGUCUAGAGACGUCGACGAGAGAAAUGAAGCAAUUGCGCUGCUAUUGGAUUUGUCAGACAUUCCGCAGGUCCGGCAGAGGAUUGGCAGGAUCAAGGGAUGUAUAGUGAUGCUGGUUACGCUCAGGAAUGCACAUGAAUCAGGCACCUAUGAUGACGCAGAGAAGUUGCUGCACAUUUUGUCGUGCAACCCACAAAAUGUGCUGCUCAUGGCGGAGGCUGGCUAUUUUCGACCAUUGAUACAUUACCUGAAAGAAGGUUCAGAUAUGAACAAGAUCCUAAUGGCAACCGCUAUUUCUAAGAUGUUCCUCUCUGAACAGAUGAAAUCUUCCCUUGGAGAAGAUGGAGCAGUCGAGCCCCUUGUGGAGAUGUUUAAAUCUGGAAACCAUGAAGCCAAGCACUCGGUGCUAGCCGCCUUGCGUAAUCUCUCUAGCUCUUUGCAAAACGCAGAAAUUUUGAUAAAUUGUGGCAUAACUGGAUCACUGCUUCAACUCCUUUGCUCGGUCACAUCAGUGCUCAUGACCCUUAGAGAGCCAGCCGCAGCUAUACUCUCAAAUUUAGCAGAAUCUGAUCGUAUCCUACUACAUAGGGAUGCAGCUCCUCAGAUGCUCUCACUUCUUAACUUAUCGUGUCCAGUAAUUCAACUUCAUCUUUUAAGGGCCCUCAAUAGUAUUUGUGGGCACACAAAUGCUAAGAGGGCUAGAGCUAAAAUUAGACAAAAUGGUGGAGUGCAGCUCCUCCUGCCAUUCCUUAGAGAAAAGAAUGUUGGUAUCAAAGUUGCUGCUUUGAAUCUAAUGUUCCAUCUAUCAAAAGAUGCUUCACAAGAAUUGGCCGAACAGAUCAGGGAGACCCAUCUUGAUAUCUUAGUGAAGAUUAUUGCUUCUCCUACACCUGGGAUUGCCGAGAAGGCUGCAGCUGUUGGUGUCCUAAGUAACCUCCCGGUGUCAGAUAAGAACAUCACUAAGUUUCUCACACAAGCAAACUUGCUUCCAGUUCUGAUCUCCUUAUUGGAGGCAAACAUCUCAGCGUCUCCGUCGCCACAAAAAAUGUGGUUACUCGAGGGCAUUGCUGGUGUGUUAACCAGGUUCACCGUUCCUUGGGAUAAGAAACUACAAAGCUUAGCAGUUGGACAUGGGGUACUUCCUUGGCUCGUCAAGCUGCUUUCAGAAGGAUCAGUAAAGGCAAAGUCUAAAUCAGCGACAUCUUUGGCUCAACUGUCACAGAAUUCAGUAGCAUUACGCAAAGCAAAAUCUCCAAGGUGGCUUUGUGUUCCCCCAUCAGCCGAAUCUUACUGUAUAGUUCAUGAUUACCAGUGCACUAUCAAAAGCACUUUCUGCUUGGUAAAAGCUGGUGCCGUCAACCCUCUGGUCAAAAUACUAGAAGGCGAAGAGCGAGAAGCAGAUGGAGCGGUGCUGGAAGCACUGGCUACCCUCGUGCAGGACGAGAUCUGGGAGAACGGGAGCAGGGCGAUAGAGAAGGCGUCAGGUGUCCAUGCUCUGCUGAGAGUCGCCGAGGCAGGCGAGUUGACCUCCCAGGACAAGGCGAUAUGGAUACUGGAGAGGUUCUUCCGGCUCGAAGAGCACAGAGAGCAGUACGGCGGGAUCGCGCAGGCUCUGCUCAUCGAUCUCGCUCAGAAAGGCGACCCUGUCCUGAAACCGAUGAUCGGCAGGAUACUUGCUCACCUUCAGCUACUUCAAACGCAGUCCAGCUACUUUUAA
rnacentral:rRNA from 1 species